rnacentral:rRNA from 1 species
UACGGAGGGGGUUAGCGUUGUUCGGAAUGACUGGGCGUAAAGCGCGCGUAGGCGGAUCAGGAAGUUGGGGGGUGAAAUCCCGGGGCUCAACCCCGGAAUGGCCUUCAAAACUCCUGGUCUUGAGUUCGAGAGAGGUGAGUGGAAUUCCGAGUGUAGAGGUGAAAUUCGUAGAUAUUCGGAGGAACACCAGUGGCGAAGGCGGCUCACUGGCUCGACACUGACGCUGAGGUGCGAAAGCGUGGGGAGCGAACGGG